AAUUCUCAACCUUUCAAGCUUUGUUUUUAAAGCUGGUCAGGCUUGGAUCUUGGGAGUCUGCCGGUUCUAGCGAGUCGGCUCUCCUUAAAUGCAUUAGCAAGAUUAAUCGCUGUAUUAUCUUUGAUAUGAUAAUUAUCUAUAUCAUGGAUGAAACAAGUGUUUUCCUUCAUGGAAAGAUCUGGCUUUCUAAUCGUCUUUUGAGACAAUUAUUGAAUC
rnacentral:misc_RNA from 1 species